rnacentral:piRNA from 1 species
UGUUAAUGUGUGUGCAUACAUGCCUUCAUC